GAAGAUCUGCCUGACAAGUUUGAUGUUGUUUAUGAUUCAGUUGGUCAGGGUGAAAAGGCGGUGAAGGUAGUGAAGGAAGGUGGGAGUGUGGUAGUGCUAACAGGGGCAGUAACUCCACCAGGUUUUAGAUUUGUGGUGACAUCAAAUGGAGAGAUGUUGAAGAAACUGAACCCAUACUUGGAAAGUGGGAAGGUGAAACCAGUGAUAGAUCCAAAGGGACCAUUCUCAUUUGAUAAGGUUGUGGAUGCUUUCUCUUAUCUUGAAACUGGAAGAGCCACUGGGAAAGUUGUUAUUCAUCCCAUUCCUUGAAAGUUAGCUCUUAUUUUGUACAAUUUCUAAUACAUUUAGGGAAAAGGAGAAGUUUUUGUUCCUCAAAGCCUAUUGUGGCAUGUGGUUGAUGAAAAUAAGAUGUAUCUAUGUUGAUCAUGUUGGACACACAAAUAAUUACUUAGGAGGAUUUUUGUGUUCACUCUUUCUUAGACAUGGUU
rnacentral:misc_RNA from 1 species